AUCUUUUGACGUUCCUCUGGGUUUUUGAGGAUGAUCUCCGCCUGAUCCAGUUCUGCCAUGGUUCCAAGGGGUAACCUAAUGACUGAAGUGUUUGUGCAAGCAUUUGCAAAACUUUGCUCAGUCCCAUGUCUGCAAAACACAUUUUUGUAAGAAAAUGAAUACUAGAAAAAGCAGAAACAGCAUUAAAGUGUAUGCAGACAAUGUUGAAAUGUUUCAAGUACCUCUGAGCAACUGAUGGGGCUGAGGUUGUACAUCUGGAAGACAUAUAAAACAUGUUUCAUGCCACGAGGACAACUGACCUGCAGAAGUGUGAGGGAACUCUGAGGGAAGUGUGGGGGAAUUUUGAUAGCCUGAAAGAACAACAAAUGCAAAAUUCAAUAUCGGAAGUGGGGCAGCUAGGUUCUACGGACUUUUUUAAGCAACCAAUGGCUUUCUCGUAAUGCCAUGGUCUCCUGUUACUCAGCCCCAGGCCCACCUUGCAGCAGGAAUGUCGAUGGAGCAGUUCAACGGAUUGUUCACCACAGCCUUUUCGAGUUACCACGACCACAACAACCGGCUAAGGAGUUUGGAAGAUUGCCAUUCGAUUACAGCUGUCUGGGAAUGAUCUGCAGAUCCAAAACCUGACUCUACAUCCAAGCAAGAUGGCACUGCUUUAUGUCACAGGAGGUGUCUUCAAAAAGAAAAAAAAAUACAAUGAUCACUCAAUCUACAGCAUCACACAGUAUUGACAUCAGGGGCAUGCUAUUGACUCCACAUAAUGUGCACAUUAUUUGGCCAGGUGUUUAUUUAUUAUUAUUAUUAUUGUUAUUGUUAUUAUUAAUGUCUUUUAACGCUGCAGUCACAUCCUGUGGCUGCAUUUUAUGGGAGGCAGAUCAGCCAAAAAUAAAACUGAAUUGAAAUGGCUUAAAUGAAAAUGCAAAGACAUUUUGACUUUUUUUUCCAAAAUAUAAUGACAAAAUUAAAAAUACAAUUGCUUAAUUUUCAAUUUAACAUGCCAAGUGGGAUACAAAUGAAGUGUGAUAUUUCAUAUAACCUCAAACGGUGAAUGCGAAAGUUACCUGUUCAGUGGUAAGAAGGCCACACGACUAACAACCAUGUUUUUAGGUUCCCUAAAAACUGACAAUGAGAGUAGUAAAAGGUGUUCUACAUUACAUUCAUAUGCAAAUGUACUAUACAAUAGUGCUAUGAUCAGUGUAUAGUAUAUGUGGAGCUGAGUGAUGCAGUGAGUGUAGAUCCAAAGUGGAUUUAAUGAAGUGGCUGUUUAUGUUUUUUAUAUCUGUUCACACAGGCAAAAAAAUGUCAAAGGGAUUUGCAUUUUCAUUUUAGCCAUUUUAUUUCAGUUUUAUUUUUGGCUAGAACUACCUCCCAUAGCAUGUUGGCCAAUUCUUUAGAAUCCCUCAGAAUAUAUACAGUUCAAAUAUUUUAGAGGGCUAUUAUCCUGCAUCAGAUUUCAAGACCCCACAUUGAACUGGCCCAAAUCGGAAUUGAAAAUGUCACAAACCACAAGAAAUGAUGUAUGCAUAAGGCCUGCACGAUAUUGAAAAAAAUUCAAAUCGCAUUGUUUUAGCUUUUUGCGAUAUAUAUCGUGAUAUUACACAAUGCAGGACCCGUGACGUCACCAGCCCCGCCCCCACCCGCGCGCGACCGAGAGUCAGCGUUUAGAACAGUCAGCUCAGCACUCAAAACCCGAAGAAAACAGCAAAACAACGGCAAUUAAGCAUUUAAAUGACCUUUAAAAGGCCAUGAAAAGGUAAAUAAGAGUGUUUUUCUGGGAUUAAAAGCAUGAAUUCAGCUUUAACUUGAAAUAUCUGCGCAAAACUGUGGACAGGCUGUCUGAGGCAGUUACACGGUUCAUACACUUUCCAUAGUUUCAUGACCUUACAGUCUUUAAAAUAUCAGUGCAGAAAUUAACAUUAAAACAAAAAAUCCAUGUGAAACUGAUUAUAGUAGGCCUAUAUCUUACAAUGUUUUUAAAUAAAAAAUAUACAUUUCUUUCAGCAAUGCUGACAAUCUUCAAUUAUAAAAUGUGUCAAAUCCUGAGAGCUCUAUUGUGUAUAACGGAUUUAACUCUGAGCUGAUUCCAUACACUGCUAAGCAUUUCUAUUUGUUUAACCUGUAAACUGUGGUUCAUACUUCAAAUAACAUUAUAUAGGCUAUUUAUUUUGAAACUUUGAAUACAUUUUUAAUAAUCUGGCUGUUGGCUGGGAUUUCUGAACCUGCUUCCCAAAGAAAGAGAGAAAAAGAUGGCCAUUACAGCCUAAAAUGACUUUACACUCAUAUAAAAAACAAAUUAGUAACUUCAAGUCACACAGUUAACCCGUCAGACAACAGCAGGAGAGCUGUAUACAGAUUUUUUAUUACUGAACUAUUUAACAUGUAAUAUGUUUAAUGUGUAUAUCACUUAUCAAUAAGUAUAAUGAAGCAAAAUAAACCUGCUUUUAGAGACACUCUAAAAUAUUAGUAAAUAAAACAACACUGUUGUUGUUACAGAAACUAAAACAGAGCUAGUCAUUUUCCAUCUAAUUUUAACAUUUGUUUUUAAUGUACACGAUGGAAAAUGUGGAGAGAUUGGACAGGCGAAGAUAUAUAUGUAUAUAAACCGAGCUACACUAAAUACACAUUACCCCCUCCUUCAAACACACCUCUCAUCUCUCUCUCACUCUGCACUGCAGGCAGUGGCGCGCGCAGGUCUCUUCGGUAUGUUUUGUAGAAGUUAAAUCCGGACAGUCUGUUUCACAGUUUAAAGGAAUGGUGAGAUUUCGCUGCAGCAGCUGAACUCCGGUCGGAUUUCCCGCUCCCCUCGCGCUUGCAUGUUUGUCACACUUAAAUGUUUCGGAACAUCAAACCAAUUUAAAUAUUAGUCAAAGACAACACAGGUAAACACAAUGCUAUUUUUAAAUGAAGGUGUUUAUUAUUAAGGGGGAAAAAAAUCCAAACCUACAUGGCCCUGUGUGAAAAAGUGAUUGCCCUCUAAACCUAAUAGCUGGUCGGGCCACCCUUAGAAGCAACAACUGCAACCAAGCGUUUACGAUAACUUGCAAUGAGUCUUUUACAGCUUGUGGUGGAAUGUUGGCUCCACUCAUCUUUACAGAAUUGUUGUAAUUCAGCCACAUUUUCCACCAUGUACAGCUUUUUUAAUGUCAUGCCACAGCAUCUCCAUCGUAUUCAGGUCUGAUUGACUAGGCCACUCCAAAGUCUUCAUUUUGUUUUUCUGCAGCCGUUCAGAGAUGGACUUGCCGGUGUGUUUUGGAUCAUUGUCCUGCUGCAGAACCCAAUAUCGUUUCAUCUUGAGGUCAUGAACAGAUGGUCGGACAUUCUCCUUCAGUUUCUAUUUGGUAGACAGCAGAAUUCAUAGUUCCAUUUAUCACAGCAAGUCUUCCAGGUCCUGAGGCAACAAAACAGCCCCAGACCAUCACACUACCACCACCAUAUUUUACUGUUGGUAUAAUGUUCUUUUUCUGGAAUGCAGUGUUUCUUUUACACAUACCUUCCAAAGAGUUCAACUUUUGUCUCAUCAUCCCACAGAAUGUUUUCCCAUAAGUCUUGGGGAUCAUCAAGAUGUUCUGGAAAAACUGAGACAAGCUUUAAUGUUCUAUUUGCUCAGCAGUGGUUUUCAUCUAGGAACUCUGCCAUGUAGGCCAUUUUUGCCCAGUCUCUUUCUGAUGGUGGAGGCAUGAACACUGACCUUAACUGAGGCGAGUGAGGCCUGCAGUUCUUUGGAUGUUGUUGUGGGGUCUUUUGUGAGCUCUUGGAUGAGUUGUCGCUGCGCUCUUGCAGUAAUUUUGGGGGGGGGGGCCGGCCACUCCUAGGAAGGUUCACCACUGUUCCAUGUCUUUGCCAUUUGUGGACAAUGGCUCUCACUGUGGUUCUCUGGAUUCCCAAAGCUUUGGAAAUGGCGUUAUAACCCUUUCCAGACUGACCGAUCUCAAUUACCUUUUUUCUCAGUUGUUCCUGAAUUUCUUUGUAUCUCGGCAUGACGUGUAGCUUUUAAGGAUCUUUUGGUGGACUUCACUUUGUCAGACAGGUCUUAUUUAGGUGAUGUCUUGAUUGAGAACAGGUGUGGCAAAAAUAAGGCAUGGGUGUGGCUAGAGACAGUGUACUCAGGUGUCAGAAACCACAGUGACGAUAUGUUUUAACAAGGAGGGCAAUCACUUUUUCACACAGGGCCAUGUAGGGUUAGAGUUUUUUUCCCUCAAUAAUAAACACCUUCAUUUAAAAAUAGCAUUUUGUGUUUACCUGUGUUGUCUUUGACUAGUAUUUAAAUUGGUUUGAUGUUCAGAAAUAUUUAAGUGUGAAAAACAUGCAAAAAAUCAGGAAAUCAAGAAGGGGCAAACACUUUUUCAAGUGCGGAUUUGGGACACUUCAAAGUAGUUUACAUUCUCUGCCCAACCCAAGCUCAGUAUAGCAAAGUAACAACUAAUUUUUAAUUUUUUUAUUAUUAUUAUUUAUUUAUUUUUAAGUUUUGCCAGAUAGAAUGAUCACACAGCACAGCCAUAUUGCUGUUUUUGUGUUUUUUGCACUUAGGCUGUAUGAUUAAAAUAAAGAAAAUUUAUUGUUUAGAAAGGAUGUUAUAUACUUAAACCAUCUUAAAUUAUUAGAUUAGAGGAAAGUCUUUCAGACAUUCUUGUAGCCUAAUUAAUCGAUGUUCAGGCCAGUGGAUCAUUGUUUGCAUUGUUUGUGUUUUACAGUUUUUCUCUGUCGAUUUGGUACAUUUCUCACAUCAUGAUUUACAUUGGCAUCACAAGUGCAUUUCUCAAAACAGUUAGUGCAAAGAGCAAAACUCAAUGAAAUGCCUGCAAAAGCACAUACCUCAUUCACAUUGAUAAGCGUGACACAAGCAAUGGAUAAUGCAAAAAAAACAGCUGAAAAUUGUACAUGACCAUUUGCAUGAAUGACAGACGCAUUUGCAAAAUGUGAAACACAAUGAGAAAUGCAAUUAUGAUGUGCCCAAGGGAGGAGAUGUGGAGAUUGAAUGAACAGUUUUGAGAAUUUAAAUUCUGAUCUGAGAAAUGUACCAAAUCGACUGAGAAAAACUUUCGGGGUCGGGUCGGGCUGGAUAUUUGGGCCUGAUCUAAGCGCUACUUUAAAGGCACACUGGGUAAAAGAGUUAUUUAUUGAAUCGAAUUUAUUCAAUAAUUGGCUUGUGGCCUUCCCCUGACUGUAAUUCAAGUUUACAGAACUGUCAUGAAGUCACAUUUAAGCCCCUUUCUCUCCCUGCACAAAUUUACUCAUGCAUCUCUUUGAUUGAAAGGACCGAGCCAGCACACGUGCUUACAAAUUUAGCGUUUAAUACAAACAAGCCAAAUAUGAACUCAUAGUAAAACAAAAACGCAGACCCUUGCCUGGCCUCCAUAAGAGGUUUUUGCAAUUCAGCAAAUAUAAACCAACGUGUGCACUGUGCAGGUCACUUAUGCAGCCUUUUUUUUACGAUUAUAGUGAUUUGUUACUUUGUUAUAUUGAGACAUCACGGCAUAGCUUUAUAGAAAAUAAAAUUGUGUGUUCUUGAACCAGACCCGACAGAGCCAGAGGAAAGUGGUGGAGAUCUGUUUUAGAAAGAGAGAGGCGUACUUCUCACUUACAACCAGUUUUAGUGAUUACAGUCUAUGAAAUUAGCUGUAGGUUUAGAAAAGCCGCGUUUGCCAGUGGCUUUGAAAAAAUCUUGUAGUACUUGUUGGAGCUAUAGUACCAUAAAGCAGUUCAUAGUUCUCAAAAGAAAUGCAGUUCUUGUGAGUGUUGGUUACAUCCAGCUCUUAAAGUUAAACAGUGAUUUUGAAGCUGAAAUAUUUUACUUCUUUAAAAAUUAUAAAUCAAGAAAAUCCUACCUAGUGUACCUUUUUAACCUUCUGUGUGAACAAACUGAUCCAGACUGCAUUCUUACUUUUCUCUGCCCUUGGAUUAGAGUUGCAAUGGUGUAAGUAUCUAAAGACAAUAUCCUGGGUUUCAUAGUGUUUCACAAUUACCCUAAAUAAUUAAUGACUUAUAAAUAUUGCUAAAAUGUGUAAAACAUGUUAUUUUGCAUGUUGGCACCAGAGAGGAAGGAAGUGUUUUUUAUAAUAGUAAUGUCAUAUGUGCUCAAGUAAAGUUCUUCCAGUGAAAUGUUCAAUUAAAUGAUUCAUAUUACCAUGAAGUGCUUAAAGCAUUAAAGUGUAAGAACUCAAUGCAGAAUAUUAUUCAUAUUAUGUUAACUUUAGUACAAGGGUUGGACAUUGUGGGAUGAAUAUUUAUGACUGUCAUAAUAGGUGUAUUAUUCUUAAAUAUAUUGCUUAAUUAUAUUGCUGUCUAAUGAGUUUUGUCAGAACGUUUACUUUGGUGUUGUGUGGUAAAGCCUCUGUUGCACAGCUAUGAACUGUUGUAAAAUGUUAAUUGUGGUAUAUACUCAUGCGAAGUUUUUUCAAUAACUGUAAAGAAAGUUAAAUUAAAUUACAGAAAUGAGAAUUUCCUGCUAAUGGUUCAGGCUUAAAAGGGUUAAAUAUAGUUAAUUCAGAGUAGGGUGUGUGUUUUAACUUGUAUUGAAUAUGUUCAUAAUAAAGUUUUUAUUGUGAA